rnacentral:rRNA from 1 species
AGAGUUUGAUCCUGGCUCAGGAUGAACGCUGGCGGCGUGCUUAACACAUGCAAGUCGAACGAAGCACUUUAUUUGAUUUCUUCGGAAUGAAGAUUUUGUGACUGAGUGGCGGACGGGUGAGUAACGCGUGGGUAACCUGCCUCAUACAGGGGGAUAACAGUUGGAAACGACUGCUAAUACCGCAUAAGCGCACAGGAUUGCAUGAUCCGGUGUGAAAAACUCCGGUGGUAUGAGAUGGACCCGCGUCUGAUUAGCCAGUUGGCAGGGUAACGGCCUACCAAAGCGACGAUCAGUAGCCGACCUGAGAGGGUGACCGGCCACAUUGGGACUGAGACACGGCCCAAACUCCUACGGGAGGCAGCAGUGGGGAAUAUUGCACAAUGGGGGAAACCCUGAUGCAGCGACGCCGCGUGAGCGAAGAAGUAUUUCGGUAUGUAAAGCUCUAUCAGCAGGGAAGAAGAAAUGACGGUACCUGACUAAGAAGCACCGGCUAAAUACGUGCCAGCAGCCGCGGUAAUACGUAUGGUGCAAGCGUUAUCCGGAUUUACUGGGUGUAAAGGGAGCGCAGGCGGUACGGCAAGUCUGAUGUGAAAGCCCGGGGCUCAACCCCGGUACUGCAUUGGAAACUGUCGGACUAGAGUGUCGGAGGGGUAAGUGGAAUUCCUAGUGUAGCGGUGAAAUGCGUAGAUAUUAGGAGGAACACCAGUGGCGAAGGCGGCUUACUGGACGGUAACUGACGUUGAGGCUCGAAAGCGUGGGGAGCAAACAGGAUUAGAUACCCUGGUAGUCCACGCCGUAAACG